rfam:Picea glauca, whole genome shotgun sequence.
AAAUUCCUACAACAUAGCGUUAAUGCACCGGAUCCCAUUAGAACUCCGUAGUUAAGCACGCUUGGCAUAGAGUAGUACUGGGAU